GCCAAGGAAUCAAUCCUGCCUCUGUUGUGAAGCCUCCCUAGAAACCCAGGAGGAAGGGGUUCAGAGAGCUUCCGGAUCAGCAGACUUGAGCAGGUUUGGGGCCCGAGGUGCACCCGGGGAGGCCACGGGAGCUGUGCACCGUUUCCCCACACCUGGCCUCAUGCAUCUCUUCAUCUGGCUGCUCCUGAGUUACAUCCUGUUAUAAUCAACCGGCCAUGGGGAUCUCAUCUGGGCUCCCACGUGGCAUACUUGUCACGGCCACUUACUCUCCUCCUGUGUGGCGAAACUCCUAUAUCUUCCGUGAUCUUCUGUGACCUGAAUCCUUGUGAAGAAUAAUGAAGUAAGCAGCCAUGCAGAUGGAACGGAUUCCCAAACAUGACAAGAGAAGAAAACAUUUUCAAGUACACAGGAACAAAACUUUUGACACGGAAGGAGAAGGCACAUGUGUCUAAACACGCCACAUGGAAUACAGCU